AUGAAUAUCCAGAUUCAGAUUAUUAUGAUGAAAGAUCAGAUCGUCAUUGGUCUGAUGACGGAUUCAGAUCGUGAUUUAGAUGAUUUAUAUGACGAAUAUGAAAAUUAUUAUGAAGAAGUUCAAGUAAAAAAACAAAAUUUGGAAGUUGAAAUUAUUGAUAUAACUCCAGAAAUCGAAAUAUUAAAUCAAAACGAAAAAGAAAAAUUUAACCAAGUUGAAGAUAAAUUAACAACUCUUUCUAAAAACCUUACAUGUAUUAUUUGUUUAACAAAUCAAGUUCAAAUAUUAACAAUACCUUGUGGACAUCUUAUAAUGUGCAACCCUUGUUCACUUAAUUUAAAUAAUUCGGUUUGCACCAGAGGGGUAAACUCAAACUACGAAAAAUGCCCUAAAUGCAGAACACCAAUUUAUAAUAAAAUUAUAGCAAGACUACCAUAG
rnacentral:misc_RNA from 1 species